AACGAACGCUGGCGGCAUGCCUAACACAUGCAAGUCGAACGGGAUCCUAGCUUGCUAGGUGAGAGUGGCGGACGGGUGAGUAACACGUGGGAAUCUGCCUUUUGGUUCGGGAUAACCGCGGGAAACUGCGGCUAAUACCGAAUGCCCUGAGAGAGGAAAGAUUUAUCGCCAGAAGAGGAGCCCGCGUCCGAUUAGGUAGUUGGUGGGGUAAAGCCUACCAAGCCGACGAUCGGUAGCUGGUCUGAGAGGAUGAUCAGCCACACUGGACUGAGAUACGGCCCAGACUCCUACGGGAGGCAGCAGUGGGAAUAUUGGACAAUGGGGCAACCCUGAUCCAGCAAUGCCGCGUGAGUGAUG
rnacentral:rRNA from 1 species